AGUGCAUAUGGUGGAUGCCUUGGCGAUUACAGGCGAUGAAGGACGUGAUAGCCUGCGAAAAGCUUCGGGGAGCUGGCAAAUAAGCUUUGAUCCGGAGAUGUCCGAAUGGGGAAACCCGGCCGCAAGGUCAUUCCCUCCUGAAUACAUAGGGAGGGUAAAGCAAACCUGGUGAACUGAAACAUCUAAGUAGCCAGAGGAAAAUAAAUCAACCGAGAUUCCGUAAGUAGUGGCGAGCGAACAUGGAACAGCCUGUUAGUUUUAGCAUGUGCGAUAGUAGAACGGAAUGGAAAGUCCGGCCAUAGAGGGUGAUAGCCCCUUAUACGAAAUCCCGCGUGUGGAACUAAGCUAACGACAAGUAGGGCGGGGCACGAGAAACCUUGUCUGAACAUGGGGGGACCAUCCUCCAAGGCUAAAUACUCGUAAUCGACCGAUAGUGAACUAGUACCGUGAGGGAAAGGCGAAAAGAACCCCGGGAGGGGAGUGAAAUAGAUCCUGAAACCGUAUGCAUACAAACAGUGGGAGCCCUUACUUCAAGUAUCUUUAGAUGCUUUUGUGGAGUGUUGCGUCAGCAAUGCGUCUUGAGAGAUAUUUAUUGAUUGAAGUCUAUAGCGAUAUAGAGAGACAUCCGCGAGGGUGCUUGAAGUAGGGGUGACUGCGUACCUUUUGUAUAAUGGGUCAGCGACUUACAUUCAGUAGCAAGCUUAACCGAUAGGGGAGGCGUAGCGAAAGCGAGUCCGAAUAGGGCGUACAGUUGCUGGGUGUAGACCCGAAACCAAGUGAUCUAUCCAUGGCCAGGUUGAAGGUGCCGUAACAGGUACUGGAGGACCGAACCCACUAAUGUUGAAAAAUUAGGGGAUGAGCUGUGGAUAGGGGUGAAAGGCUAAUCAAACUUGGAGAUAGCUGGUUCUCUCCGAAAACUAUUUAGGUAGUGCCUCGUAUAUCAUUCUCGGGGGUAGAGCACUGUUAUGGCUAGGGGGUACAUACGUACUUACCAAACCAUUGCAAACUCCGAAUACCGAGAAAUGCAAUUACGGGAGACAGACUGCGGGUGCUAACGUCCGUAGUCGAGAGGGAAACAACCCAGACCGACAGCUAAGGUCCCAAAUGACGUGCUAAGUGGUAAACGAAGUGGGAAGGCAUAGACAGCCAGGAGGUUGGCUUAGAAGCAGCCAUCCUUUAAAGAAAGCGUAAUAGCUCACUGGUCGAGUCGUCCUGCGCGGAAAAUGUAACGGGGCUAAGCACGUAACCGAAGCUUCGGAUGCCAUAUUUAUAUGGCAUGGUAGGAGAGCGUUCUGUAGGCCUGUGAAGGUGUGCUGUCAGGCAUGCUGGAGGUAUCAGAAGUGCGAAUGCUGACAUGAGUAGCGAUAAAGGGGGUGAAACCGAAAGCCCAAGGUUUCCUGCGCAACGUUCAUCGGCGCAGGGUGAGUCGGCCCCUAAGGUGAGGCAGAGAUGCGUAGCUGAUGGGAAACGGUUUAAUAUUACCGUACCUCGAUACAAUGCGAUGUGGGGACGGAGAAGGUUAGGUCAGCCGGGUGUUGGAUAUCCCGGUUCAAGCGUGUAGUCAGACUUCUUAGGUAAAUCCGGGAGGUUGUUAAUGACGAGGCGUGAUAACGAGUCUACUUGUAGACGAAGUGAUUGAUACCAUGCUUCCAAGAAAAGCCACUAAGCUUCAGUUGUAUCAGACCGUACCGCAAACCAACACAGGUGGGCAGGAUGAGAAUUCUAAGGCGCUUGAGAGAACCCGGGAGAAGGAACUCGGCAAAUUAACACCGUAACUUCGGGAGAAGGUGUGCCCCGGUAGCGUGAAGAGAUUUACUCUCGGAGCGUGAUGGGGUUGCAGUGAAAAGGUGGCUGCGACUGUUUAAUAAAAACAUAGCACUCUGCUAACACGAAAGUGGACGUAUAGGGUGUGACGCCUGCCCGGUGCUGGAAGAUUAAAUGAUGGGGUGCAAGCUCUUGAUUGAAGUCCCAGUAAACGGCGGCCGUAACUAUAACGGUCCUAAGGUAGCGAAAUUCCUUGUCGGGUAAGUUCCGACCCGCACGAAUGGCGUAACGAUGGCCACACUGUCUCCUCUCGGGACUCAGCGAAGUUGAAGUGGUUGUGAAGAUGCAAUCUACCCGCGGCUAGACGGAAAGACCCCAUGAACCUUUACUGUAGCUUUACAUUGGACUUUGACAAGAUCUGUGUAGGAUAGGUGGGAGACGUUGAAACGUGAUCGCUAGAUUGCGUGGAGUCACCCUUGAAAUACCACCCUGAUGUUGUUGAGGUUCUAACCUUGGUCCAUUAUCUGGAUCGGGGACCGUGUAUGGUGGGCAGUUUGACUGGGGCGGUCUCCUCCCAAAGAGUAACGGAGGAGUGCGAAGGUAACCUAGGUACGGUCGGAAAUCGUACUGAUAGUGCAAUGGCAUAAGGUUGCUUGACUGCGAGACGGACAGGUCGAGCAGGUGCGAAAGCAGGUCAUAGUGAUCCGGUGGUUCUGUAUGGAAGGGCCAUCGCUCAACGGAUAAAAGGUACUCUGGGGAUAACAGGCUGAUUCCUCCCAAGAGUUCAUAUCGACGGGGGAGUUUGGCACCUCGAUGUCG
rnacentral:rRNA from 1 species